rnacentral:lncRNA from 1 species
GGCUGACUGAAACCCUGUGUGGAAAGGCACUUUGCAAAGCAUGCCACUGGGGCUUCCAAGGUGGCGAGCUAUGUUGGGAAGCUGUUGGACAGGAUUAUCCUCCGAGUCAAGCAGCUGCUGUCUUCUUCAUGAGGUGAAUGAGCUGGGUGACUGGCAGGAGAGGAGUGCAAUGCCUCAGAGAAAGAAAUGCACGUGGCCUACGUGACUGUUCGAGCCCUGUGUGCAUGUACCGGGAUCAUGGUGGUGGUUGUCUUCACGCCUGGAUGUGUUCCCUGCACCAUGCCUGCCCUGCAAGCUGGAAUGGCUGCAGCCUUCAGUUGGAUGGCCCGGAGGUGCUGCUUCCAGGCCAAGCUCUUCCUUCUUGCUCUUGAAGGCCACCAAGUGCCCCAGUCUACAGUAUCUCAGGUACCACCACUCUCUAGGAG